CAACCCUCAAGCCCCCUGUGGACUUGGUGUUGGGGACCGGCGACAACCUUCUGUCGCCGCCCCCUAAAUGAAUUGGCGGCCCCGUCGCGGCCCUCCUCUGCGUAGUAGCACACACCUCGCAACAGGAGCCCGUCGGUGGCCACUGCCGUAAAACACCCCAAACCUUUUAG
rnacentral:misc_RNA from 1 species